rnacentral:tRNA from 2 species
AAGGUCUUAGCUUAAUUAAAGUAUUUGUCUUGCAUACAGAAGAUGUGGGGUAAUAUCCCGCAGACCUUA